rnacentral:rRNA from 1 species
AGUGAACGCUGGCGGUAGGCCUAACACAUGCAAGUCGAACGGCAGCACAGUAAGAGCUUGCUCUUACGGGUGGCGAGUGGCGGACGGGUGAGGAAUACAUCGGAAUCUACUUUUUCGUGGGGGAUAACGUAGGGAAACUUACGCUAAUACCGCAUACGACCUACGGGUGAAAGCAGGGGAUCUUCGGACCUUGCGCGAUUGAAUGAGCCGAUGUCGGAUUAGCUAGUUGGCGGGGGAAAGGCCCACCAAGGCGACGAUCCGUAGCUGGUCUGAGAGGAUGGUCAGCCACACUAGAACUGAGACACGGUCCAGACUCCUACGGGAGGCAGCAGUGGGGAAUAUUGGACAAUGGGCGCAAGCCUGAUCCAGCCAUACCGCGUGGGUGAAGAAGGCCUUCGGGUUGUAAAGCCCUUUUGUUGGGAAAGAAAAGCAGCAGGUUAAUACCCCGCUGUUCUGACGGUACCCAAAGAAUAAGCACCGGCUAACUUCGUG